rnacentral:rRNA from 1 species
CACGUAGUUAGCCGUGGCUUUCUGAUUAGGUACCGUCAAGAUGUGCACAGUUACUUACACAUUUGUUCUUCCCUAAUAACAGAGUUUUUACGAGCCGAAACCCUUCAUCACUCACGCGGCGUUGCUCCGUCAGGCUUUCGCCCAUUGCGGAAGAUUCCCUACUGCUGCCUCCCGUAGGAGUCUGGACCGUGUCUCAGUUCCAGUGUGGCCGAUCACCCUCUCAGGUCGGCUACGUAUCGUCGCCUUGGUAAGCCGUUACCUUACCAACUAGCUAAUACGGCGCGGGUCCAUCUAUAAGUGAUAGCAAAACCAUCUUUCACUUUAGAACCAUGCGGUUCUAAAUGUUAUCCGGUAUUAGCUCCGGUUUCCCGAAGUUAUCCCAGUCUUAUAGGUACGGUUACCCACGUGUUACUCCACCCGUCCGCCGCUAACUUCAAAGGAGCAAGCUCCUUAUCUGUUCGCUCGACUUGCAUGUAUAGGCACGCGCCAGCGUUCACUCCUGACGCCGAGAUCAAACUCU